UACGGAGGGUGCAAGCGUUAUCCGGAUUCACUGGGUUUAAAGGGUGCGUAGGUGGGAAUGUAAGUCAGUGGUGAAAUCUCCGUGCUUAACAUGGAAACUGCCAUUGAUACUAUGUUUCUUGAAUCUUCCGGAGGUCAGCGGAAUAUGUCAUGUAGCGGUGAAAUGCUUAGAUAUGACAUAGAACACCAAUCGCGAAGGCAGCUGACUACAGGGGCAUUGACACUGAGGCACGAAAGCGUGGGGAUCAAACAGG
rnacentral:rRNA from 1 species